rnacentral:rRNA from 1 species
CUACGGGGCGCAGCAGUCGAGAAUAGUCUACAAUGGACGAAAGUCUGAUAGUGCGACGCCGCGUGGAUGAAGAAGCAUUUCGGUGUGUAAAGUCCUUUUCUGUGUGAGCAAUGUUUUCCAGGUUAAUAGCUUGGGGAAAGCGAUAUUAACACAGGAAUAAGCUCCGGCUAACUCCGUGCCAGCAGCCGCGGUAACACGGGGGGAGCAAGCGUUGUCCGGAAUUACUAGGCGUAAAGGGUAAGUAGGCGGAAUUGUAAGUCAGAUGUUAAAGGCACCGGCUCAACCGGUGUAUGGCAUUUGAUACUGUAAUUCUAGAGUAAGGUGGGGGAAGACGGAAUUCCUGGUGUAGCGGUGGAAUGCGCAGAUAUCAGGAGGAACACCAGAGGCGCAGGCGGUCUUCUAUACCAUUACUGACGCUCAAUUACGAAGGUGUGGGUAUCAAACAGGAUUAGAUACCCCCGUAGUC